UACGAGUGCCCCAAGCGUUAUCCGGAAUCAUUGGGCGUAAAGGGUGUGUAGGCGGUUGUGUUAGUCUUCUGUUAAAUUCUUCGGCUUAACCGGGGGUCUGCAGGGGAAACGGCACAACUAGAGGAUGCGAGAGGUAAAUGGAACUCAUGGAGUAGGGGUGAAAUCCGUUGAUAUCAUGGGGAACACCGAAAGCGAAGGCAAUUUACUGGCGCACUCCUGACGCUGAGACACGAAAGCGUAGGUAGCGAAUGGG
rnacentral:rRNA from 1 species